rnacentral:lncRNA from 1 species
GGUGCUGAAAUAGGCCAUAAAAGAAUGCUCGAGCUAUCCGAAGGAGUGGAUACCUCCUGAGCGGAGGUCGGAGUACCAGACCCUGGUAGCUUUACGAAGUGUGGCGGGGAAGUCGAUGCAGAGGGGGGCAUCGGUUGUUCCUUAAAUUGUCAUUAGAGCUUUGUAGCUCUCCAGAUGGUCAACUGAGUCAGUGGAGCCAUCGUAAGGCUCCAC